AUGAACGCUGGCGGCGUGCUUAACACAUGCAAGUCGAACGAUGAAGCCCAGCUUGCUGGGUGGAUUAGUGGCGAACGGGUGAGUAACACGUGAGUAACCUGCCCUUAACUCUGGGAUAAGCCUGGGAAACUGGGUCUAAUACCGGAUAGGAGCGYCYACCGCAUGGUGGGUGUUGGAAAGAUUUAUCGGUUUUGGAUGGACUCGCGGCCUAUCAGCUUGUUGGUGAGGUAAUGGCUCACCAAGGCGACGACGGGUAGCCGGCCUGAGAGGGUGACCGGCCACACUGGGACUGAGACACGGCCCAGACUCCUACGGGAGGCAGCAGUGGGGAAUAUUGCACAAUGGGCGMAAGCCUGAUGCAGCGACGCCGCGUGAGGGAUGACGGCCUUCGGGUUGUAAACCUCUUUCAGUAGGGAAGAAGCGAAAGUGACGGUACCUGCAGAAGAAGCACCGGCUAACUAC
rnacentral:rRNA from 1 species